CCUACGGGAGGCAGCAGUGGGGAAUUUUGCGCAAUGCUCGUAAGAGUGACGCAGCGACGCCGCGUGAAUGACGAAGGCCUUCGGGUCGUAAAGUUCUUUCGACAGGGAAGAACAUGCCUAUAAGUAACUGUGUAUGUAUUGACGGUACCUGUAUAAGCAGCCCCGGCUAACUCCGUGCCAGCAGCCGCGGUAAUACGGAGGUGGCGAGCGUUGUUCGGAGUGACUGGGCGUAAAGAGCACGUAGGCGGUGUUGUAAGUCAUUAGUCAAAGACUAGAGCUCAACUUUAGUAAGGCUAGUGAUACUAUAAUACGAGAGUAUCAGAGAGGAGUGCAGAAUUCCUGGUGUAGCGGUGAAAUGCGUAGAUAUCAGGAGGAAUACCGUUAGCGAAGGCGGCAAUCUGGCUGGAAACUGACGCUGAGGUGCGAAAGCGUGGGUAGCAAACAGGAUUAGAUACCCCUGUAGUC
rnacentral:rRNA from 1 species